UCCGGCCCCGAUCGAAGUCGCGCCUGUCCUGCUGUGGCUGGCGCGGUCAAGCCGGGCCUAAAGCGACACUUUCACCGACGGUCGCUGUGCAGCUGACCUGUCGCUGCUGCAGCAACAUUAAGGGGAAGGACACUG
ensembl:snoRNA